GCUCGCAGGAGAGCAGGAAACACCCGGGCGCACCUGGAGCUCCCGCUGCGCAUCCUCCACUGCGCACCCUCCACUGCUUACCCCCUCCCCCGCCGCUGCUCAACGGACCACGGGCUGGUUGGGGUGGGUGGUCCGAGAGCUAAAAAGGGCCGCACCGUCCGAGGCCAUCUUGGCCAACAUUCUACCCCCGCCUCCAUUUUAUGUAAGGAAACUGAGGCCCAGGGCAGUCAGAUGACCAGGAUCAUAAAAUCAGAGCCGAAAGGGACGUCACAGGCCAGCUAGUCCAACUGUCGUUUUACAAAGGAGGAAACUGAGGCCGAGAGAUGACUAAAUGACUUGGCCAAGGUCACACGGGUCACUCCGUGACAGCCAUCACUUGCUGCCCCGGAGAUAUUAGCCAGUGCCGAAGAGGAGUGGUUGUCCCUGAACUUCAGAAUGGGGAGCAUCUGUGGUGAAAACUUUCAGGAGGCCAAUUUAAGUUGGUCUGUUCAAGCCUAGACUCACAGAGAAGCGAGCGGGGGAGAGAGAAAGGAACCGCUGGCCCGAGGUCAUCUCUCUGCCCUCCGGCCCAGCCUCUCCUCAGCCACCCUGGGCAUCUGAGCGGCUUGCUCUUUUAAAAGACGUGUCGGACCUUCAAAGACUCCCACGGCCCACCCAAGGAGGCUCACUGUGUCUGGACGCCUGGAGAGAUAGCUUGGAAUAAUGAUUAGACAGCUGGUUUGAGAAGCAGGAAGAUUGAGUGGCAAGUCUCAUCUCUGACACAUACUGGCCGGAUGACCCUGGCUCUUCGGGUGAGAACCAGCCAGACACAAAAGGAUUCUCACCACUGCCUUGUGUGUGCUCAUCUCAGCUCUGAAAACCCCCCACCCAGUGUGGGACCCAAGGUCACCGCCCUUCGGAACACUGCACGUCUCUUCUAAGGGGAAAUGCUCCUGGCAGAUGCUGGGAGGGGGUUGGAGGAAGGGAGGAAGAAUGUAGGGAUGA